rnacentral:rRNA from 1 species
AGCGGGGCGGCAGGGUUGCCUGGCGGCGCCGGCGACCGGCGCACGGGUGAGUAACACGUAUGCAACCUGCCCGUGGCAGGGGGAUAAGCGGGGGAAACCCCGUCUAAUACCGCGUAACGCGGCCUAGGGACAUCCCAAGGCCGCCAAAGGGAGCAAUCCCGGCCACGGAUGGGCAUGCGGCGCAUUAGCUAGUCGGCGGGGUAACGGCCCACCGAGGCGACGAUGCGUAGGGGUUCUGAGAGGAAGGCCCCCCACACUGGUACUGAGACACGGACCAGACUCCUACGGGAGGCAGCAGUGAGGAAUAUUGGUCAAUGGGCGCGAGCCUGAACCAGCCAAGUCGCGUGAGGGAGGACGGCCCUACGGGUUGUAAACCUCUUUUGCCGGGGAGCAACGGGCGCCACGUGUGGCGCCACUGAGAGUACCCGGAGAAAAAGCAUCGGCUAACUCCGUGCCAGCAGCCGCGGUAAUACGGAGGAUGCGAGCGUUAUCCGGAUUUAUUGGGUUUAAAGGGUGCGUAGGCGGAUCGUUAAGUCAGUGGUCAAAUUGAGGGGCUCAACCCCUUCCCGCCAUUGAAACUGGCGAUCUUGAGUGGAAGAGAAGUAUGCGGAAUGCGUGGUGUAGCGGUGAAAUGCAUAGAUAUCACGCAGAACCCCGAUUGCGAAGGCAGCAUGCCGGCUUCCUACUGACGCUGAAGCGCGAAAGCGUGGGGAUCGAACAGGAUUAGAUACCCUGGUAGUCCACGCGGUAAAACGAUGAGCGCUAGGUGUCCGGGGGGAAUGGCCCCUGGGUGCCACAGC